rnacentral:rRNA from 1 species
AUACGGAGGGUGCAAGCGUUACUCGGAAUCACUGGGCGUAAAGCGCGCGCAGGCGGCUAUUUAAGUUGGAUGUGAAAGCCUAUGGCUCAACCAUAGAACUGCAUCCAAAACUAUUUAGCUAGAGUGUGGGAGAGGAAGAUGGAAUUAGUUGUGUAGGGGCAAAAUUCGUAGAGAUAACUAGGAAUACCAAAAGCGAAGGCAAUCUUCUGGAACACUACUGACGCUGAGGCGCGAAAGCGUGGGGAGCAAACAGGAUUAGAAACCCCAGUAGUCC